UCUGCUUCUCGGCCUUUUGGCUAAGAUCAAGUGUAGUAUCUGUUCUUAUCAGUUCAUGCCGGUGGCACAAAAUGCCGGUAUUGGACUGGUGGGGAUGGGUGCUGCAUGGAAGGAAUAGGUGUACCAGGGUGUUCCGGGGCUGGUGACUGAACACCAGCUCAAUGGCUGCCCCAAUGAGACCUUCU